rnacentral:lncRNA from 1 species
CUCUCACCUGUGCCCUGCCCUCAGCCUAGCCGGGAUCCAGCCUACCUGCGCCCUGAGCCAACCCACAUGACCAGCCCACCUACGCCCAGCCCACAGGGGCCCCUCCCCGCAGCUCUUCUCACCUGCCCGGCCGGCGCUCGCGGCUGCUCCUCGCCGGCCCCUCAGCAGUGCCAACCGCCCCUCCGCGCCGCUGCCCCUGGGUCCGGCACCCGCCCUUUCCCGGGUAAGGAUUUUUCCCCGCGUCCCGCCCCACAACUCCGGCGGCACAGAGGGUGGGCCGAGGAGGGGCACGCCCGGUUCGGUCCCGCCCGGGUCAGAAGGGUUCCGGAGGAGUCCUGCGCUGGCUUCCUUAGCCAUCUGCGGAGGCUUCUCCCCAGCUCGCUGCUGGGGGACGCUCGGUCCUCGGAGCCCGCGGGCGUGCGCCGCGCUUCUGCUCCAACUUUCAGUCGGAGGACAGCAGAGGGAGCAGCCUUGCCUCUUCCCACCAACCAGUCAGCUUCUUCCACCAGCAUGACUUUUCUUACCUCAUGGUCUGUGUACACAAAGGCCCCACAGUGAUCUGGUGGCAGCUGCACCUUCUAGUUCCACGGAACACCUACUGCACUUGCUGGGCAGACAUAGGAGGAAGUCGGGGCUGCAGACUGAUACAAGCAUGCUGAGACCCAGGAGUGUUAGCAGGGGGCAUCUCUUCCGGCCACAUGUCAGCGUCCUCUGUCCUGCUCAAGAUCAGGACCAGAUGAAGCGUUUACUUCUAACAAAGAGUGUUGCUGGGCCCAUCUGAUCUGGACACUCUGCAACUUUGAUGAAGCCCAGCUGACAUGGGAAGUCCCAGACACAUAGAUAGUCACCUCUUUCUGGUGGUUAUGUGCUCCAUAUCUCCCCGGGCCCAAUACAAGCUAUGUCUUUACAACUGUCAGUGUGCUGCUUAGGCAACGUGGCUUUGUCUAGAAUCCCAAGGGUGCAUGUUCUGAGUAUCCCACAGAGACUUCCAUAAGCUUUGUGCUGCAACUUUAUCCCCCCGACACCUGCUGCUCUACAGAGUCAGCCUGGUGCUUUCUCUCUGCCCACCAGCACUGAUUGCACCCAACCCUGGCAUACCUGCAGUGCCCUCUCCUGUCAGCCCUACCUGGUGCUGGCAGCUCUGCAUGUCACAAGGCAUGUGAGCUAGAGCAAUACUCCCGAGUGUGAAAUGCAUUUCCCAUGGACCCCAAGAACCCCGCUAGACGAUGUGCUCUUCAUCUACUGGGUUAGAAAUGUGCUGUCAGUGCAGAGAAGGUGUCCUGCAAGCCCGUGACAUCACUAAAGUGGGUCCCCACAUCUUCACAUCUGCUGGGGCAGAGAGGUCUCCUCAAGGAUCCAGUACCCAAUGUAUCUUUUGCUCACCCUGUCCAGCUGCAAUGAUGCUGUCAGGGCAAUGGGUUAAUGACUGGCAGACACAAGGGUCCAGAUAUCCAUGGUUUAUGGAGCCUACUGACUGGGGCCAAGACCACGCUGUAUGUGAGUGGAUAUGGUUGUUUAUCUCACCCAAAUAUUUAUGUGUGUGUUCAUAUGCAUGUGCAGCCAUGUGUGUAUUUUAACCAUCAUGUAAAAUCGACUGAAGAUGUAACAUCUGACACAGCAGGAGAAUCCCUGCUUCCUUGGGGACUUGUAGCUUUACCUCUCUGUGUUGCCACGCUGCUUCCCAAACUGGUUGUACCAUUGGGCAAGUUGCAUCUGAGGUCAGAAGGCCUCUCAGCUUUCUGAAGCAAGAGGCCAUCCCAGAAACUUGUCCUUGUUCAACUCAUUUAGGGGUGACAUAGUCCUGGCUUGAUUUCACAGCCUCACAGUUGGUAUUUUGUUUUGCAGAGAAAUCCUCCUCUUUAUGGCUCACCAUUUAAUUUCCCUGCUGUCAAGAGCCAGAAUUAAGUUAUUCCUCUUUUUAAAAGAAUGAUAUAAGCAGGGAAUAAUGAAUGCAAAAUGCUGUAGUUAAACAUCAGCAGACAAACUGAUGGAUCGGCUGUCACUUAGAUUAUGCUAUAAAUGGAAAGAAAGUGAUAUUUAAUCAUUUGCAAAAAAUAAAAACAGUGGUGAUGGAUUUGGU